UUUCCGUAGGUGAACCUGCGGAAGGAUCAUUAAUGAGUUGUCAUGGGGUUCGAUGCUGGUAGCCAAUUUUUGGAUGCAUGUGCUUGCCCUAACAAUCAUCUUCCAAACACCUGUGCACAUUUUUGAGGGAGUCUUGAGUUGGUUGCCGCUCUUGGGUGAUUUUCUCACAUUCCCUUAAAUCAUUAUACGCUAUUAACAAUGUUGAACGUGCUCUGUGCCGCAAGGCUAUUAAUAUAAUACAACUUUUAACAACGGAUCUCUUGGCUCUC
rnacentral:misc_RNA from 1 species